UAAGGGGCGGCCGUAGAGGUGGUAAGUUGUAGCCUUAUUUAUGGGGGCCACAAUCCCCCCUCCUUA
rnacentral:tRNA from 1 species